UCGGCGCGAGCAAGGGUUUCUUUGCGUCAGGGUUCACCUUGUGGGGGAAAAAGAUCGCAUCUUGCUUGGGAAUCGGAGUUUGCAACAGUAAUCGGCGGAUGACAUCCUUCAGAAAUAAGAUUACAGAACAGCACAUUAAGGCUGUCAUCGUCAACAACGAGUGUAGAAAACAAAGAAAAAUACUCACAUACACAAAAAGCAUUUGCGAGUGCAGUCUUGUCAUCCUUUACGAGGCUACCGCCGGCGUAGAAGCCGAGUUGCUUAUGCACAGAACAACAAGAUGUUGGAGAAGCCAAAACGCCCUCCGCCUACCGAUCCUUUGCCUUGUGGAUAGAAUUCAUAGCAGAAGGUGCCGAUAAAAUCGAUGAUUGCCAGUAUAAAUUAUUUGUUUGCGUGAGGCAUUCUUCCCGUAUUAAUUCGUAGAUGUGGCUGAGUUGAUACAAUUCGAAACCUGCCUGUGUCUUCAAGCUUCUUUGCUAACUUCUCUUUGAGUUGGUCUACGAGGCUGACAAAUGCACAGCGAAAUAAUGCAGGAAAAAUAAGAUAUUUUACGAGAAUAUUUUA